AUGAGAGAAGAUGGCCUGCAAGGGGUCAAGAUAUGCAGGAGUGCUCCGGUUAUUUCACAUCUUUUGUUUGCGGACGAUUCACUGCUGUUCUUUCACGCUUCGGAACGGCAAACUAGUUUGGUCAAGAGUGUGUUGAACACGUAUUCGGCGGUGACUGGACAAUUAAUCAACCCGUCGAAGUGCUCCAUCCUCUUUUCAGGAAACUGCUUGCCAAGUGUGGUGCAUGAGGUUAAGUCUGUUCUGGAGAUUACACAAGAAGUUUUUGAACCUAAGUAUUUGGGUCUCCCGGUUCCGGAAGGAAGAAUACAUAAAGUAAAUUUUGAAACCAUCCAGGAUCGCUUGCGCAAGAAACUUAUUGACUGGAGUGAGCAAUAUGUGUCCUCUGGAAAUAAGGAGAUUUUGAUCAAGGUUGUAACACAAGCCCUACCCACUUAUGUUAUGAGUGUCUUCAAGCUCCCUGCUUCGGUCUGUGAUGAGCUGACUCGUAUGAUCCGCCAAUAUUGGUGGGGAGUCGAGAAUGAGAAGAAGAAGAUGGCAUGGAUGAGUUGGGACAAGUUGAGGCUACCUAAACCUAUGGGAGGCAUGGGGUUUAAGGAUAUGAGGGCAUUUAAUCAAGCUUUGUUGGCCAAACAAGCUUGGCGACUUAUAGACACGCCGAAUAGCCUGUGUGCAAGGCUUAUUAAGGCAAGAUACUAUCCUUCGAGACAGCUGCUUGUUACGUCGUUCUCAGACAAUGGUUCUUCAGUUUGGAAGGGUAUCUUACAUGGUCUUGACCUGCUA
rnacentral:rRNA from 1 species